rnacentral:rRNA from 1 species
GACGAACGCUGGCGGCGUGCUUAACACAUGCAAGUCGAACGGUGAAGCGCCUUCCUUUUUGGUGGGUGUGGAUGAGUGGCGAACGGGUGAGUAACACGUGAGUAACCUGCCCCCUUCUUCUGGAUAACCGCAUGAAAGUGUGGCUAAUACGGGAUAUUCUGGGUCUGUCGCAUGAUGGGUCUGGGAAAGAUAUUGUUUCGGUGGGGGAUGGGCUCGCGGCCUAUCAGCUUGUUGGUGGGGUGAUGGCCUACCAAGGCGGUGACGGGUAGCCGGCCUGGGAGGGUGGACGGUCACACUGGGAAUGAGACACGGCCCAGACUCCUACGGGAGGCAGCAGUGGGGAAUAUUGCACAAUGGGCGCAAGCCUGAUGCAGCGACGCCGCGUGAGGGAUGGAGGCCUGCGGGUUGUGAACCUCUUUCGCCAGUGAAGCAGGCCUGCCUCGUUUGUGGGUGGGUUGACGGUAGCUGGAUAAGAAGCGCCGGCUAACUACGUG